GUCGAGCGAUGAAUUCCUUCGGGAACGGAUUACGGCGGACGGGUGAUACACGUGGGUAACCUGCCUUAUAGAGGGGGAUAGCCUUCCGAAAGGAAGAUUAAUACCGCAUAAAGUUGUUGAUUCGCAUGGAUCGAUAACCAAAGGACAAUCCGCUAUAAAUGGACCCGCGGCGCAUUAGCCAGUUGGUGAGGUAAUGGCUCACCAAGGCGACGAUGCUAGCCGACCUGAGAGGGUGAUCGGCCACAUUGGGACUGAGACACGGCCCAACUCCUACGGGAGGCAGCAGUGGGGAAUAUUGCACAAUGGGGGAAACCCUGAUGCAGCAACGCCGCGUGAGUGAUGAAGGCCUUCGGGUUGUAAAGCUCUGUCUUUGGGGACGAUAAUGACGGUACCCAAGGAGGAAGCCACGGCUAACUACGUGCCAGCACCGCGGUAAUACGUAGUGGCAAGCGCUGUCCGGAUUUACUGGGCGUAAAGGGAGCGUAGCGGAUUUUUAAGUGGGAUGUGAAAUACCCGGGCUCAACUUGGGUGCUGCAUUCCAAACUGGAAGUCUAGAGUGCAGGAGAGGAAAGUGGAAUUCCUAGUGUAGCGGUGAAAUGCGUAGAGAUUAGGAAGAACACCAGUGGCGAAGCGACUUUCUGGACUGUAACUGACGCUGAGGCUCGAAAGCGUGGGGAGCAACAGGAUUAGAUACCCUG
rnacentral:rRNA from 1 species